ACUACGGGUGGCAGCAGUGAGGAAUAUUGGUCAAUGGGCGGAAGCCUGAACCAGCCAAGUAGCGUGCGGGAUGAAGGCCCUACGGGUCGUAAACCGCUUUUGCACGGGGAUAACACACUCCACUUGUGGCGGUCUGCAGGUACCGUGCGAAUAAGGGCCGGCUAAUUACGUGCCAGCAGCCGCGGGAAUACGGAAGGCCCGAGCGGUAUACGGUUUCAUUGGGCUUAAAGGGAGAGUAGGCGGGGGUUCAAGUCAGCUGUAAAAUCGCGCGGCUCAACCGCGCCCCGCAGUUGAAACUGGACGCCUUGAGUUCACAACAGGCAGGCGGAAUGCGUGGUGUAGCGGUGAAAUGCAUAGAUAUCACGCAGAACUCCGAUUGCGAAGGCAGCAUACCGGCGCGCAACUGACGCUCAUGCACGAAAGCGUGGGUAUCGAACAGGAUUAGAUACCCCAGUAGUC
rnacentral:rRNA from 1 species